GACGAACGCUGGCGGCGUGCUUAACACAUGCAAGUCGAACGGAAAGGCCCUGCUUUUGUGGGGUGCUCGAGUGGCGAACGGGUGAGUAACACGUGAGUAACCUGCCUUUGACUUUGGGAUAACUUCAGGAAACUGGGGCUAAUACCGGAUAGGAGCUCCUGCUGCAUGGUGGGGGUUGGAAAGUUUCGGCGGUUGGGGAUGGACUCGCGGCUUAUCAGCUUGUUGGUGGGGUAGUGGCUUACCAAGGCUUUGACGGGUAGCCGGCCUGAGAGGGUGACCGGCCACAUUGGGACUGAGAUACGGCCCAGACUCCUACGGGAGGCAGCAGUGGGGAAUAUUGCACAAUGGGCGGAAGCCUGAUGCAGCAACGCCGCGUGCGGGAUGACGGCCUUCGGGUUGUAAACCGCUUUCGCCUGUGACGAAGCGUGAGUGACGGUAAUGGGUAAAGAAGCACCGGCUAACUACGUG
rnacentral:rRNA from 1 species